rnacentral:snRNA from 1 species
GAUCAUUCCUGAACAUAUGCUAAAACUGAAACAAUACAGAGAAGAUGAGCAUGGUCCCUGUGCAAGGAUACCACUCAAAUUCGUGAAUGGCCCCAACAUUUC